rnacentral:rRNA from 1 species
UACGUAGGGUGCAGGCGUUAAUCGGAAUUACUGGGCGUAAAGCGUGCGCAGGCGGUCUCUUAAGACAGGUGUGAAAUCCCCGGGCUUAACCUGGGAACUGCGCUUGUAACUGAGAGGCUUGAGUGUGCCAGAGGGGGGGUGGAAUUCCACGUGUAGCAGUGAAAUGCGUAGAUAUCGUUUGGAACGCCGAUGGUGAAAACAGGUUGCUGGGGCUGUGCUGACGCUGAGACACGAAAGCCAGGGGAGCGAACGGGG